rnacentral:rRNA from 1 species
AACGAACGCUGGCGGCAGGCUUAACACAUGCAAGUCGAGCGGGGACUUCGGUCCUAGCGGCGAACGGGUGAGGAAUGCUUGGGAAUCUGCCUUGUAGUGGGGGAUAACGUUUCGAAAGGAACGCUAAUACCGCAUACGCCCUACGGGGGAAAGGGGGGGAUCUUCGGACCUCUCGCUAUAAGAUGAGCCCAAGUCGGAUUAGCUAGUUGGUGGGGUAAAGGCUCACCAAGGCGGCGAUCCGUAGCUGGUCUGAGAGGAUGAUCAGCCACACUGGAACUGAGACACGGUCCAGAGUCCUACGGGAGGCAGCAGUGGGGAAUAUUGGACAAUGGGCGAAAGCCUGAUCCAGCCAUGCCGCGUGUGUGAAGAAGGCCUUCGGGUUGUAAAGCACUUUAAGCGAGGAGGAAUGGCUCUGGGUUAAUACCCUUGAGCAGUGACGUUACUCGCAGAAUAAGCACCGGCUAACUCUGUGCCAGCCGCCGCCGUAAUAC